GUUGAUGAAGCGUGGGGAUACAGGUGAGAGAGACUGGCUUGUGGUUGAUGAAGUGUGGGGAUACAGGUGAGAGAGACUGGCUUGUGGUUGAUGAAGCAUGGGGAUACAGGUGAGAGAGACUGGCUUGUGGUUGAUGAAGCGUGGGGAUACAGGUGAGAGAGACUGGCUUGUGGUUGAUGAAGCAUGGGGAUACAGGUGAGAGAGACUGGCUUGUGGUUGAUGAAGCGUGGGGAUACAGGUGAGAGAGACUGGCUUGUGGUUGAUGAAGCGUGGGGAUACAGGUGAGAGAGACUGGCUUGUGGUUGAUGAAGCGUGGGGAUACAGGUGAGAGAGACUGGCUUGUGGUUGAUGAAGAAUGGGGAUACAGGUGAGAGAGACUGGCUUGUGGUUGAUGAAGCAUGGGGAUACAGGUGAGUGAGACUGGCUUGUGGUUGAUGAAGAAUGGGGAUACAGGUGAGAGAGA